rnacentral:rRNA from 1 species
AGCAGUAGCCGCGGUAAUACGAGGGGGGCAAGCGUUGUUCGGAAUUAUUGGGCGUAAAGGGUGCGUAGGCGGUUUGACAAGUCAUCUGUGAAAUCUAUGGGCUCAACCCAUAGUCUGCAGGCGAAACUGUCGGGCUAGAGUAUGGGAGAGGUGAGUGGAAUUUCCGGUGUAGCGGUGAAAUGCGUAGAUAUCGGAAGGAACACCUGUGGCGAAAGCGGCUCACUGGACCAUAACUGACGCUGAGGCACGAAAGCUAGGGGAGCAAACAGGAUUAGAUACCCGCGUAGUCCCUGUCUCUUAUAA